AAUUAAUCUUCCAUUGCAUGCUUGUUUAGUGGCAAGGUGAUUAGUGGGUGUACAGGCUUUUGUAUAAGCGCAGGACAAUAUUUAAUCAUGACCUGUAUGAGGAGGUCAAGGCAUUUACUCUUAUGCAUGGAGGGUCUAGUACAAUAUAUCAGCAAGACAUCUAGCUAUGCAUAUUGGUAUAUCCAAGUGUGAUUGUAAGUAGGC